AUUGAACGCUGGCGGCAUGCCUUACACAUGCAAGUCGAACGGCAGCACGGGGGCAACCCUGGUGGCGAGUGGCGAACGGGUGAGUAACAUAUCGGAACAUACCCUAGAGUGGGGGAUAACGUAGCGAAAGUUACGCUAAUACCGCAUACGAUCUAAGGAUGAAAGUGGGGGAUCUUCGGACCUCAUGCUCAUGGAGUGGCCGAUAUCUGAUUAGCUAGUUGGUGAGGUAAAGGCUCACCAAGGCGACGAUCAGUAGCUGGUUUGAGAGAACGACCAGCCACACUGGAACUGAGACACGGUCCAGACUCCUACGGGAGGCAGCAGUGGGGAAUUUUGGACAAUGGGGGCAACCCUGAUCCAGCAAUGCCGCGUGAGUGAAGAAGGCCUCGG
rnacentral:rRNA from 1 species